rnacentral:rRNA from 1 species
GACGAACGCUGGCGGCGCGCCUAACACAUGCAAGUCGAACGGAGCUGAGAGAAGCUUGCUUUUCUUAGCUUAGUGGCGAACGGGUGAGUAACGCGUGAGUAACCUGCCCUGGAGUGGGGGACAACAGUUGGAAACGACUGCUCACACCGCAUAAGCCCACGAUCCGGCAUCGGAUUGAGGGAAAAGGAUUUAUUCGCUUCAGGAUGGACUCGAGUCGAAUUAGCUAGUUGGUGAGGUAACGGCCCACCAAGGCGACGAUAGGUAGCCGGACUGAGAGGUUGAGCGGCGACAUCGGGGCGAAGACACGGCCCAGAAUCUUACGGGAGGCAGCAGUGGGUGAUAUUGCAAAGUGGCGGGAGCCCUGAUGGAGCGAGGCCGCGUGGAGGAAGAAGGUUUGCGGAUUGUAAACUCCUGUAGUUAGGGACGAUAAUGACGGUACCUAACAAGAAAGCACCGGCUAACUACGUG